AACUCCACUCAGGAGAUCAUCGAGAAGCUGGCCAAUGGGUUCAAUUACUCCAACUCCCUGGACAAGUGGCAGGUGCCCCAGGCCACCAACCUCAUCCAGUGAUUGUCUGAGGAGUCGGUCAUGUCCCACGGUGAGGCGUGCAUGAUGCUGACCCCCAAGGCAGGCACAAUGGAGAAGGUGGCAGAGUCUCUGGUACCAGCCUUCCUGGAUAGAAACAUCUCCUACAUCACCACCUUCCCAUGUGUGUAUCUGGCCUUCACCACCACCCAACAGGUCCUGGACAAGCUGUUCCAUAGCCGUGGGGCACAACCUGAAGACCUUCACACUCAACUUCGCCAUUUCCAAUCUCCAGUAUUCAACAGACAUGAGCAAGGUCUCAGUCGCAUUCAACUCCAGCGAGAAUGUCCAGUAGCACCUGAAGAGACUGGUCCCAACAGCUCCUGGUGGAAUGAGUCCCAGCCAGCUGCUCCCCACCCCCUGUUCCUCCUGCUUGUCCUCCUUCUCCUUCCUCCCCAGCUUGGAUCCUUGUUCAAGAAGAGCAGCCUGGGCCCCUUCUGCUUGGGUUGCAGACUGAUCUCCCUCAGAGGAUUCAGGACGUCUCUCUAG
rnacentral:lncRNA from 1 species